rnacentral:rRNA from 1 species
UACGAAGGGUGCAAACGUUGCUCGGAAUUAUUGGGCGUAAAGCGCGCGCAGGCGGCGGUAUAAGCAUGGCGUGAAAGCCCCAGGCUCAACCUGGGAGGGUCGUCGUGGACUGUACCGCUUGAGGGCGGUAGGGGCUGGUGGAAUGCCUGGUGUAGUGGUGAAAUGCGUAGAGAUCAGGCGGAACACCCGUGGCGAAGGCGGCCAGCUGGGCCGUCCCUGACGCUGAGGCGCGAAGGCGUGGGGAGCGAACGGG